UACGGAGGGUGCUAGCGUUGUUCGGAAUCACUGGGCGUAAAGCGCGUGUAGGCGGCCCACUAAGUCUGAUGUGAAAGCCCGGGGCUCACCCCCGGAAGUGCAUUGGAAACUGGUGGACUCGAGUCCCGGAGAGGAGGGUGGAAUUCCUGGUGUAGCGGUGAAAUGCGUGAGAUAUCAGGAGGAACACCGGUGGCGAAGGCGGCCUCUGGACGGUGAGCUGACCGCUGAGACGCGAAGCGUGGGGAGCAAACAGG
rnacentral:rRNA from 1 species